UUGCUUAUUUAUACCUGUUGUCCCCGUAGGACUUGGGGCUUCCGAGGUCAUCUGGCCUUGUCUGCUAUCUCUUAUUUGUCUUCAGUGCAGGGCUUGGCACAGAAUAGGUGCUUGGUGCAGCACGGGUUGCCUCAGAGAAUGAAUUUGAGGUGUGUCCAUCUCUCCUGCUUCCUGAGCUCCCCUUAGCAAAGAUAUUCUGCAAGAUACAAGGAUCCUAACUGGCCUUUGGUAGGUCUUGCUAGACUCAGGUGCUCAGAGAUGUAAAUGUUAAUCAUUCCAUAGAGCUGUUUUUUUAAAGCACCUGUUAAAAGCAUAGCACUGUGACUAAAAGGAUUUAUACAAUUGAUCACUUGGCAUUUUAGUUAUUUCAACCCUAGAAGUAACCAUGGCAUGACAAGGAGGGAGACACACCUCAUGUCAGAGGUCCCAGAGAAAGGUAACAUCUGAUGAGGGGCAGACACAUAGGAGGUAUGAGUUGGAAUUCACUUGGGGUGGUUGGCAAAACAUUACAGAAAAUAUUUAGGGAAAGUUAUAAGUUAUAUAGUCUCAAACCUUUGGGAAGGCCGAAAGGUUUUAAUAGGGCAGGCGGAAAGUGACUGGCUGGUUCGUUAAGUUCCAGUUUAAGUCUGUUUACCCUACAUCCCUUUGUCUCUACUUUGUUUACUCAUGUAACUUUGUGCUGGAUGGGCCUCUCGGGGAGAUCAAAGGGUAAUUACCUGUUAAUAGGGUUUACUCUGGGCCUGGAAGCUAAAGCUUUUAUCAUUCGUAUAACCACUUUUUUAACCAUGUUAAUUAUCCAUGAAUGUGUUAACUUAGAACCUCUGUUAGGAAUAAAUGUGUGGAUGGACAGGGAGUCUUGCUUGACCGGUUGCAUUUUGCCCUCUGAAAGCAGCCAACAGCCAUCCCUAGCCCACCUGAAACACUGUAAUGGUGUGAGUGCAUUCAUUCAUCCAUCCUUCAAUCAGGGUCUGCAGGCCAGACUUCCGCAGGAGGUGCAGGUGUGGUUCUGGGCAGACUCUGGUCAGUGGUCUCAGUGUUUCCGCCCAGCUGCCCGUGAUGACUGCAGGAGCCUCUACAGCCACCUGGGCAACGGGGGAGAUGCUUCAGCCUCACGGGAGCUGCUUAAUUGGCGAACCCAGCAGACUCCAUUGAGCUUGUUGCAGAAGCAGAAUCAUUUAACCAGGGGAUGAAAGGCAUUCUGUGCAGGGACAAGGGAUGUGCCAGUGCAGUCCAGCACUAGUUUAGUGGAAUGUAAAACCCUCACCAGGCUUUGCCUUGGCACGGAUGAGGACAAAGCCCAGGAGUGCCUGCUGCCCUGAGUCCAGCUUGUGAUCUGGAGCUACAGAUGGCGACCGGAGGCUCUUGAAGAAAAGCUGGAGGAACUGUUUCUUCUUCUCAAAGCCAGAUUCUGUGACUGGAAUGGAAACUCACGAUCAUUGGUGGAGAGCGUAGGAGGCUAAAAGAAACCUCAUCCUCUCCAGACAAGAGGCGCAGACCUGAAUAAAUGGACACAGUGAUUCCUCGAGUUUCUGCACAUGGAUCCUCACACAGAUGAUGCACAGAUGGAGCACAAUUGGGGGCAUUUGCUCUCUGACCUCCAGGCAUGGACUCAGCCUCCUCUGUCACUCCCCUCCCUUGAGACCCCACCCCGCUACCAGCCUUUCCUCUGCCCUCUUCCCCUCCAUUCCCAGAGCCUAAAUUUCCAGUGAGCUGAAAUGUGGAGUUCAUGGCAAGGAGACAUUCUCUUCUGCCUCCUUCUCCAGGAAGCCUAGGUGAAAUCCUGAGCCAGCUUCCAUAAAGGGCUUCGGUCCACCUUAUCCCCACUCAGGGGCUGGAGCCCCACCCAGAAAAUGGAAAGGAGUUGCCUUCUGGCUUCUCAUUGAGCUGCCGUAUGAAGCUGCUAGUCCAAAUCCCUCAUUACCACCAGGCUCUACAUAAUGUCUCACUUUUUCCCAAAUUUGUUUUUGAAUUAUUUAUGAGGGACUUUAAAAAUCUCAUGGAAAAUGUGUAUUAUGUGAAAACUAUGCAUGGAUUUCACGUUUUUUACACCAAAAUAAACUCACACCAACUUGUUAUAAUAUAUCUGAAUAGAGUCUAGUUUGAAACACUGAGAAGGAUCAGACAUUGACUUGAUAAGAGCCCCUAUCAGAAAAAAAUGAAUUCUGUGAAAAAUAAGUAAAAACAAACAUUAAAUUCACGGUAAAGCUUGGGUGGAAGAAUGGUGAAGUCAUGGAUGUUUUACCAAAAGUUUUGGGGACAAUGCCCCCCCCCCACAAAAAACCUGAAAGUUCACAAAUGGAUAACAUAUUUUAAGAAAGGAAGAGAUUCAAGACCAGUCUGACCAACAUGGAGAAACCCAGUCUUUUCUAAAAAUACAAAAAUUAGCUGAGUGUGGUGGCAUGUACCUGUAAUUCCAGCUACUUGGGAGGCUGAGGUAGGAGAAUCGCUUGAGCCCAGGAGGCAGAGGUGGUUGCCGUGAGUUGAGACGGUGCCACUGCAGUCCAGUCUGGGAGACAGAGUGAAAUUCUAUCUCAAAAAAAAAAAAAAAAAAAAGUUGAUGUGAAAGAUGAAGCCCACAGUGGCAGACCAUCCAUAUUAAUUUGUGAGGAAAAAAUAUUCAUCUUGUUCAUGCCCUAAUUGAAGAGGACCAAUGACUAAUAGCAGAAAAAGACCCAACACCAUGGACAGAUAAGCUGCAGAUAGGAGGGGAGAUUUAGAUGAAAAUUUUAAACAAGUGGGAUUAAGAUCCUGAAGCAUUUCUUCAAGGAAUUGUAACAGGAGAUAGAACUUGGCUUUCCCAGUACAAUGCUGAAGAAAAACCACAAUCAGAGCAAUGGCUACCAAGAGGCAGAGGUGGCCUAGUCACAGCAAAAGCAGACUGGUGAAGAGCAGAGGUCAAGGCAACAGUUUUCAGUGAUGCUCAUGGCAUUUUGCUUGCUGACUUUCUGGAGGGCCAAAGAGCAGUAACAUCUGCUUAUUAGGAGUGUUUUGAGAGAGCCACAGCUUUAGCAGAAAAAUGGCCCAAGAAAGCUUCACUAAAGAGUGAUCUAUCAUGACAGUGCUCCUGCUUAUUCCUCUCAUCAAACAAAGUCAAUUAUGUAAGAGUUUCAAUGGGAAAACAUUAAGCAUCAACCUCACAGUCCUGAUUUGGCUCCUUGUGACUUCUUUUGUUUCCUAAUCUUAAAAAUUAUUUAAAGGGCACGUGUUUUUCUCUGUUUAAUAGUGUAAAAAAGACUGCCUUGAUAUGGUUAAAUUCCCAGGAUCCUCAGUUCUUUGGAGAUGGACAAAAUGGCUGAUAUCAUCACUUACAAAAGUGUCUUGACCUUGAUAGAACUUGAAUCUCACACUCAAAAUUUAUAUUUUUUAGUCUUAUCUUUUAAUUUCAUUCUCCCACAAACCUUUAAAAGUCCCCUUGUAUUUGUUUUUAGUUUAACAACUUCCUUUAUAUGUGCUUUACUUUUCCUCGAAC
rnacentral:lncRNA from 1 species